UACGAAGGGUGCAAACGUUGCUCGGAAUUAUUGGGCGUAAAGCGCACGUAGGCGGCUUUGUAAGUCGGAUGUGAAAUCCCUCGGCUUAACCAAGGAAGUGCAUCCGAAACUACAGAGCUUGAGUACUUAAGAGGAUCGCGGAAUUCCCGGUGUAGAGGUGAAAUUCGUAGAUAUCGGGAGGAACACCUGUGGCGAAAGCGGCGCACUGGACCACAACUGACGCUGAGGCGCGAAAGCUAGGGGAGCAAACAGG
rnacentral:rRNA from 1 species